rnacentral:rRNA from 1 species
GCGGCGGACGGGUGAGUAACACGUGGGUAACCUGCCUGUAAGACUGGGAUAACUCCGGGAAACCGGGGCUAAUACCGGAUGCUUGUUUGAACCGCAUGGUUCAAACAUAAAAGGUGGCUUCGGCUACCACUUACAGAUGGACCCGCGGCGCAUUAGCUAGUUGGUGAGGUAAUGGCUCACCAAGGCAACGAUGCGUAGCCGACCUGAGAGGGUGAUCGGCCACACUGGGACUGAGACACGGCCCAGACUCCUACGGGAGGCAGCAGUAGGGAAUCUUCCGCAAUGGACGAAAGUCUGACGGAGCAACGCCGCGUGAGUGAUGAAGGUUUUCGGAUCGUAAAGCUCUGUUGUUAGGGAAGAACAAGUGCCGUUCAAAUAGGGCGGCACCUUGACGGUACCUAACCAGAAAGCCACGGCUAACUACGUGCCAGCAGCCGCGGUAAUACGUAGGUGGCAAGCGUUGUCCGGAAUUAUUGGGCGUAAAGGGCUCGCAGGCGGUUUCUUAAGUCUGAUGUGAAAGCCCCCGGCUCAACCGGGGAGGGUCAUUGGAAACUGGGGAACUUGAGUGCAGAAGAGGAGAGUGGAAUUCCACGUGUAGCGGUGAAAU